GGAAUGGAGCACCUGGCGUACGGCUCAGUAACACGUAGUCAACCUACCCUAAGGACGAGGACAACCACGGGAAACUGUGGAUAAUACUCGAUAAGAAAUUUGGCCUGGAACGGUAUCUUUCACAAAACCGGCUCGCCGUGAGACACGGGCCUUAGGAUGGGGCUGCGGCUGAUUAUGCUAGAUGGCGGUGUAAAGGACCACCAUGGCGACGAUCAGUAUGGGCGAUGGAAGUCGGAGCCCAGAGUCGGCUACUGAGACAAGGAGCCGAGCUUUACGAAGCUUAGCGGUCGCGAAAACUCGCCAAUGCACGAAAGUGUGAGUGGGCUACUCCAAGUGACAUUCUUACGGAUGUCUGUCGCUCAGUCUUACCAGCUGAGAAAGGAAGGAGAGGGCAAGGCUGGUGCCAGCCGCCGCGGUAAAACCAGCUCUUCGAGUGGUCAGGACGAAUAUUGGGUCUAAAGCGCUCGUAGCCGGACAAGUAGGUUUUUGGUUAAACCCGACAGCAUAACUGUUGGUCUGCUGGAAAUACCGCUAGUCUUGGAAGCGGGAGAGGACAGAGGUAGUCAUAGGGCAGGGGUGAAAUCCAGUGAUCCUAUGGCGACCACCGAUGGCGAAGGCAUCUGUCUGGAACGUAUUCGACGGUGAGGGGCGAAAGCUAGGGGAGCGACCCGGAUUAGAUACCCGGUUAGUCCUAGCCGUAAACGAUGCGGACUAGGUGUUACAACGGCCAAGAGCCAUUGUAGUGCCACAGCGAAGGCGUUAAGUCCGCCACCUGGGGAGUACGGAUGCAAGUCUGAAACUUAAAGGAAUUGACGGGGGCGCGCCACCAGGA
rnacentral:rRNA from 1 species